GGAUAUAUAACUCAGCGGUAGAGUGUCACCCUGACGUGGUGGAAGUUAUUAAUUCGAGCCUGAUUAUCCCUAAACCCA
rnacentral:tRNA from 1 species